rnacentral:tRNA from 1 species
AACAAGAUGUCUGAAUGUUUAGGUCGUAAAUUGUAAAUUUAUGUAUGGUUAUUAACCUCUUGUUA